rnacentral:rRNA from 1 species
CCUACGGGAGGCAGCAGUGGGGAAUAUUGGACAAUGGGCGAAAGCCUGAUCCAGCAAUGCCGCGUGAGUGAUGAAGGCCUUAGGGUUGUAAAGCUCUUUUACCAGGGAUGAUAAUGACAGUACCUGGAGAAUAAGCUCCGGCUAACUCCGUGCCAGCAGCCGCGGUAAUACGGAGGGAGCUAGCGUUGUUCGGAAUUACUGGGCGUAAAGCGUGCGUAGGCGGUGACUCAAGUCAGAGGUGAAAGCCUGGAGCUCAACUCCAGAACUGCCUUUGAAACUAGGUCGCUAGAAUCAUGGAGAGGUGAGUGGAAUUCCGAGUGUAGAGGUGAAAUUCGUAGAUAUUCGGAAGAACACCAGUGGCGAAGGCGGCUCACUGGACAUGUAUUGACGCUGAGGCACGAAAGCGUGGGGAGCAAACAGGAUUAGAUACCCUGGUAGUCCACGCCGUAAACGAUGAUAACUAGCUGCCAGGGCUCAUGGAGCUUUGGUGGCGCAGCUAACGCAUUAAGUUAUCCGCCUGGGGAUACGGUCGCAAGNUUAAAACUCAAAUGAAUUGACGGCUGAGACCGAGCGACGACGACGACGAGGGAGGAGG